GUUGCUGUUCAUGUGCAUUGAUCCCCAACGCGCCUCUAUGAGAAACAUAGGAUUGCACGAUUGGCUAGAGAGGGAUGCCAAUGUCAUGGGAGGCAAAUCCGACAGCAGCACCAAAGGAGUCUCAGUGCAGGAGUAUAGGUAAGUGAAACCUUUUCCUUGUUUUUUCUUUUUGAAUUAUUUUUAUGGCAGUUGAAAGGAAUGGAAGUAGCCAUGGACUAGGACACUUGUAGACUACUAUAGCAUUAGGAAUACAGAUUGUCUUCUUAACACAAUAGUGUUCCUGUAACUCAGGGGCCAUGCAAUAAUUUGCUGAAAGCAUCCACUCUAAACAGAUUAGGUAAAAAGGUUAACAGUUCAAUCAGUAAUGUAAGAUAACAAAUAAAAGCAAAAAAACAUUUAAAGCUUACUAAAGUAAACAGAGUGCCCCCUUCAUUUUUCUUUAUAAAAGUGCAGAUUUCAAAAUUUCAUUUUACCACUUUUAUAAAAUACCUGACACAAUAAGUUUGUCAGUGGGAGAGUGCUCUUCCAGAAUGUGUUGUGCUAUAGUACAAAGAGAAAAGUAAUGCUUCUCAUAGAGAAUGGCUAGAUUGGUAAGACCAAGACCAUGAAAAUAUCUUAUAUUUGACAUUGGUAUCAAAAGAGGUACUCUAGACCCAGUACGUCUACACGCAUUAAGAGUAUGUGGCCACUAUUCCUGGUGAUGUUACAUAACAGAUCAGAGAAGUCACUCUCUUGCCAGGCAUUUAAUUUCCAUAUUCACUUUUAUCAGUAGCAGAACUAAUAUAGAGAGGACCCUGGUGCAAGAAAUAUUUGGGCCUCCCUCUAAUGCAAGGUUGGCCAAAGGGUAGAUCCCAUCUGUUGUACAACAAGGGUUGCCACCUGGCUGGUAUUUUACCGGCACAGCUGGUAUUUGAGGCUGUGUGGCUGGUGCCGGUAUUGCAAAAAUACUGACAAUACAAAUGCUGGUAUUUUUUGACAGGAGAAUAUUCUGCAAUACUGGCACCGCCACCAGGUGUGCAGUGUUCGAAGCCGUGCUAGGUAGUCUUGUUGGUGCAUGAGCUGUGUGUGGAGAGGGCAGGGAUAGUAUGUCACAGCAGGUCUCUGCCCUCCCCACUGACACAAUCCGCAUGGGAGGAGUUACCAGACAAGGAGAUGGAAGCAUGGCAACUGAGUCCUGAGAGCAGGUACGUGUGUAUUCAGCAGUUUGUGUGUGUGUAUUCAGCAGUUUGUGUGUGUGUGUAUUCAGCAGUCUGUGUGUGUAUGUGUAUUCAGCAGCCUAUUCAGCAGUGUGUGUGUGUGUAUUAAGUAGUCUCUGUAUAUAUUCACCAGUGUGUGUGUAUUCAGCAGUCUGUGUGUUUGUGUCCUGCAUUCUAUUUGUGUGUAUUCUGCAGUCUGUGUGUGUAUUCAGCAGUCUCUGUGUGUAUUCAGCAGCUUCUGUGUAUUCAGCGGUCUCUGUCUAUCUAGCAGUCUGUGUGUGUAUGUAUUGAGCAUUCUAUGUGUGUCGGUGUGGCAGUCUGUGAGUGUAUUUAGUCUGUGUAUGUGUAUUCAGCAUUCUCUGUGUGUAUUCAGCAAUCUGUGUUUGUGUAUUCAGCAAUCAGGUUUGUGUAUUCAGCAGUCUGCAUGUGUAUUCAGUCUGUGUGUGUGUAUUCAGCAGUCUGUGUAUGUAUACAACUGUGUUUGUGUAUUCAGCAGUCUGUAUGUGUAUUCAACAGUCUAUGUGUGUGUAUCCUGUCGUCUCUAUGUGUAUUCAGCUGUGUGUAUUCAGCAGGGGUGCAACAGAGAUAGCCUUAAUGGAGGUUGUGAUUCGUUUCCAGAAUUUGUGUACCUUAGGGCAUUGCCACCAUAUGUGUGAGGUAUCGCAGUUUGGCUGGUGGCUCCAUCAUGUGUCUCCAGAAUUGGGGAAAAUGCGGUUGAUGGCCAAGGGGGAGUAGUGCUAACGAGAGAUUUGUUUAUAGUUGCUCUCCUGUGUGGAUACAUUCAGAGAAGAUCUAUGUGCAAAAAAUUUUUUCCCCAAUCUGCAGGGGUCUUUGUCCCAUUUUGUAGUGAAGGAGGGCAGCUACCUCUGGUUCAUGUUUUAGAGCAUAUGAUAGAAGUGAGCAAGCUGGCAUUUAGAUAGGGUGUGCGUGGUGUAAAGGGACUCGAAUGUAGUGAGAUCACGUAUGUUCUCAUCUAGUGAAUUAUAAGAGCUUAUAAAAUGUGUAAUUGGUCAUAGUUACAUUUUUCCAUGACCGUGGGAGUAUUCAUAUGUUUAAUAGUGAAAAGUGGUUUAAUCCCUGAGUUUAUUAGCAUCUCACCCAAAGUUAGAUAUGUUCUCGAGUAGUAGUCUUUAUAACUGAGACCCUGCAAUCCUGCUUCAAACAUCGGGUUAUGUGUUAGUGGGUAUAAAGGGGAUGGGAAGUAUGCCUGUUCUUUAUGAUUUACUAAGAUGAUAACAGAUGCCAUGGCCUCCAAUAUUCCUUCCUAAUUCUUUCUUUUUUUUUUUUACUUUUUUAUGUGAAGGAUGACUAGCAAGCACUGGCCAGCCACCACAUAAUUAACCAUAGUGCCGCCAAGGCAAAAAAGGAAGUGAACGAUAAUUUGAGAAUAAGAAUCUUAGUAAAAGCUUUUUAUAGGAAUCGAAAGCAAAAGCACCAAUAUUAAUCCAGAAACUGAAUGCAUCCAGGCAAACUGGUAACCAACCAUUUUUGGCUUUGGUUAAUAUGUGGACAUAAUCUAAUCUUUAUUGAAUAACCCCACCCAGAGAUAUAACUAGAAAUCACUGGGCCCCAGUGUGAAAAUUGCCCAACCCCUCCAUGCAUCUCAUCCCCCCCAGCCCUUCCAUGCAUCUCAUACCCCCUUUGCGUCUCGUCCCUCCCAGCCCCUCCAUGUGUAUUAUUGCCUCCGUUCCAUCCCCCCUUCCCAUGUGUGUCAUUCCCUCCGCCCCAGCACGUUCAUGUAUGUUUUUGUGUGUGUGCACAUGAUGCAUUGUGUGUUUCUGUGUGUGUGUAAAGGACGCGUUGUAUUACGCGUUGUAUGUGUAGGGAUGCAUUUUGUGUGUGUGUGUGUGUGUGUGUAGGGAUGCAUUAUGUGUGAGUGUAGGGAUGCAUUGUAUAUGUGUAGGGAUGCAGUGUGUGUGUGUAGGGAAGCAUUGUGUGUGUGUGUGUAGGAAUGCAUUGUGUGAGAACGUGUUUGCUGGGUAGGAUAGGAGCUGUGGAGCCUGAAAGGGGAGCAUCUUUUUUUAUAUAAGUAUUUUGUUAACGUAAUUAAAAAAAUAAAAUAUUUAGUAUAUCUCCCCCUCCCUGUUUCCUACCAGCUUUGUUUACCGCGGCAAUGCUCUGAAAGCCACGGAAGUGAAGACAGAGAGCCUCUUCCCCUUCCUGGUGCUCAAAAUAUCUCCCUGAUUGGGUCUGUGUGCAUGUAAGGGGCAUACAUACAUGUAUUUAAAGAGUCUACAAUUACAAUCUAAUUCCAGGGCUAGUUUCAUUGCAUGUUCCCAUUCCUGGUCAAAUGCUGUACUGUAUGUGCUGUAAUAUGAUGCUAAAUGUGAGAAUGCAGAUGUCAAAUUCUUUAAAACAUCUGGGCCCCUUAUAAGUGAAAAGGUUGUAGCCCCUGACUGGCCCAUGGAGCAGGGAUUGCAGCUGCGGCCCCUGCGACCGUGGUAGGUCCGCCACUGACCCCAACCCACUUGAGAAAUCUCCUUUUCCCUUGCAAUGCUUGCCCUGGCUAUGCCUGGAGUGAAUAGGAUUGCAAUGUAAUUUUUUUCGUAUACAUUUAAAGAGACACAGAUCAAGUUUCUGGAAUUCUAGUCCUUUGCUGCUGUACAUUUUUCAGAACUACAUGUAUCCUCAUUCUUCACAUUUAUUUUUAAGGCUAUGGAGAAUGAAUAUGUAUUCUGUUUUAAUAAAAUAUUAUCACUGAAAAUAUAAUUAAUGUUGCUAAAUGCAAGACUUAGUGCACAGUCUGUCAUGCCAAUUUACACAUACAUGUAUUUAAAGAGUCUACAAUUACGAUCUAAUUCCAGAGCUAGUUUCAUUGCAUGUUCCCAUUCCUGGUCAAAUGCUGUACUUACAAAUACUGUAAUAUGAUGCUAAAUGUGAGAAUGCAGAUGUCAAAUUCUUUAAAACAUCUGGAAGAGCUAUUCACAGCUGGCUCGUUGGUCUAGGGGUAUGAUUCUCGCUUAGGGUGCGAGAGGUCCCGGGUUCAAAUCCCGGACGAGCCCACUUUUUGUUUCUAUUUAACAUUUGUACUUUAAUUUUGGUGAAUAUUUAAAUAUAGAAGCUUUUGUCAAAACCCUGCAUUACCACAACUGAAAUGUGCUUGGUUGAUUUCUAGAUAACUGUGCUUGUUUCUUGAAUGCAAAUGCGAUAUAUUACGCAUUAUAAUAUAAUUGCCCCUUUUUCUACUAAUGAACAAAGAGCGUAUUCCUGUCUCCCUGGAGCAGAUGCUAACUUGAUAACAUUGAAGUAGCAAACUUAUUACUAUGCCAAAGCUCAACUUCACAUAUAAAUUGCAUUUUUCAGGAUGGAAGGUCUUUAUCAUAUUUUCUUGGAUAAAGUAAAUAUAAUUAAGGGGAGCAUACAUCAUAGACUGUACAGUCAAAUCCAGAUUAACAUAGGACUUGAGGGAGCUGCAGCUCCAGGCCUAUGUUAUAAAUAGGCCUCACUCCUCUAAUGUAAGGUAAUUGCAUAUUAAACUGCAGCAUUUUGUCUCUUUCCUUUACAGUGAGUGUAGUGGACCACCUAGUAACCCGACUGAUUGCCUCCGCUAAUUCCCUUCCUUCAACCGAACAGGAACCGUUUACACUAUGAAGAAACUAAUUUUAUCCCGUAACUGGAGGAGACACAGUCCUGGAGGUACAACACUUUAUUUGCCACAUUUGGCUUUUAUGCAAAACCCCAUGCAAGGGGUGUACACCACACAAUGACAGUGUCCCCUCCCAGGGGUUGUAUUGCAGAAACGGAACUCCAGUCUCUUUGUCUCUUGUUCCCGCCACCCAACUGCAGGGCUUCCCACUUCUGGUGACAGGGGGUAUUCUUCCCAAGAUCCCCUUUGUUCCUGCCACCCAAAUGUAGAGUCUCCCACUUCCGGUGACAGGGGGUCUUCUUUCCAGUAUCCUAUGUACCCUUGAGUCACAGCGCGAGAAAGCUUCCCGCCUCCUUGACUCCCAGUUACAGAAAGCCCGCUAAACCAGCCACUGUCCCCAAAGGUUGCCCACACCAAUCCCAUGUACAGCCAUAAUGGUACCUGCCUUGAACAGCCUCCGUUCGCAGGGUCCCUGUGUGACACCUGGCAAGGGAAGCGUCUCCUUUCUUAUAUGAACGGAGGCCACCCAGGGAAGCACUAAUUAAUUACUUCCCUUGUGGUUUCACACUUAUGUUGCGAGCUGUUAACGUUCUAAUUGGUUGGCGUGAACAUUCCAAUGGGUACCGGGGUGGACCUUGCUCGGGAACAGAACGAGGUGAGACACAAUCUGCGAAUGCUCCCCCUGGUUGGCGUUCAUCUAUACUGUGGCAAACCUAGCCACCGGUAAUAAUCUGGACGAUGUGCAUAAAAAGGUUGCCUGCAUUAUCCCUGCAACUUCUUGUAUAACCUGGCUGUACACUGUGUGUUAAUGUAUUUUUGUAUUGAAUUCGUAUGCUAGCAGCCGAAAGCCGCUAGCAUUCAUGUGUUUCGUUUCACGAACAGCAACUUUACAGGCUGUUCGUGAACCGAAUGAGCUACCCCCUAAUAGCCCACACAGAGAGGGACGUGUGGCGCUCGUUAACCGAUUGCAACAAUGUUGCAAUCUGUAAUUAGAGGCUUUCCUAGGUGGCCGUCGUUCGGCUACCGACCACUCGGCGUUCGGCCAUCUUGGAUCCUUUGUCUCCCCAGCGGUGUUUGGUCGUCGAGCGCGUGGAGCUGAAAAUGGCUACAUGACGUCGCGAACACCGCUGGACUUCCAGGCUGUUCGGGAGCUCCGGUCUUUCGCUAUUAGGGUUUCCCCAUCGGUGUUAGGUACUUUGGGGCGAACUCAAUGGCAAAGUGUAUUUCGUGCGGCAUUCGGUUGUUUUAGCUGGGAUCUGAGCGGUAUUCUCACGAACUGUGCACUCAGACCCCAGCUAUCUACCGAGCGUCCGUUCGUUUAAAUGGACUAAGUAUUGUAAAAGUUAUAGCUUUUAAAGUGAAUUGCCGGUUAUGCUGCACGGAGGGAUAAUCCACUUAACGGUAUAUUCUAGUGGGAGUAUCCCUCUCGUGCAGCAGUGCCUGAUGGGAGAAAAGGUCGGAAUGUUAAGUCCCCCAUGUAGUCCCCUACUGUAUUUCCCCUGCUAUGUCAGUAGGGAAACCCCUUGCAUGGGGACUUGCAUAAAUACUGGAUGCUGUGAAUAAAAACCUCAGUUGACUCCCAGAACUGUGUUUCGUCCGGUUACUGGGGAAUUUGGGAUAUUGCCUUACUUUUCAGCGCUUGACUGUGGAUUACCUUCUAUACCAGCGGAGUUCGUGGGAUUUAAUAUUGCCGCUUCGCUACAUAUACGAAAUGGGGCUACCCAGUAUCCGCACGCACCAAUGGCUUUUUUUGCAGUUUGCUGUUUGACACCUUGUUGUGAAGUUUGAACGUUCUAAUCAUCGUUCUAAGUGGUUCAUUGGGGUGGUCCAUGUUCGGGAGGCGAAUGGAUUUCCUUUGUGGAAGCACUCCCGAACGGGGAGCAGGCACAGCACAAGAAUAUACAAGCAGCAAACAUAAUAAAGAAGGGCAAAACCCACCAACAGUGGCGGUCCUGCCACAGUGAGCUUCCCCAGUUUCAUUGCAGUCACCCACCUCCUUCCUGCCUGUCCCUAAAUCCCCUCCUCUUCACGAUGGUGCUUAAUGUCAGAGGCAGCUUUUUGCUUUCUGUACCAUGAACAAAGACCACCUAGCAAAUGUCAACUAGCCCUACCUUUCCAAAUAUACAGGCAAGGGGCAUUAGGAAAGGAAAACCAAAAGAUAAAAAAGAAAGAAAAUGACAAGCACCUUUACUCUAUCAUGUCUUCCUGUAACUCAUUGUUUUGAGCUCUGUAACAUUUCUGUCAUCGAAUGUAGUAUGUGAAAGUGGAGAAACAUAAACUGUUGGAGAGAUUUAUCAAAGUGUUCUGUUCUAAAAUGUGGUCUAUAAUAUUAAUGUGGGUCAGUCACCAUGGAAACCAGGGGAACCACCAGGCACAUUACAUUAAAAAAAUCAACACAAGUUCUAGAUGAUUUUCAAUGUUUUAUUCAAUAAUGCUGCUUCCAGGAAAUGUCUUUAUAUUAUUUUAUAACUGUGCUGAUUACAAAACACAGUUAAAGGAACAGCGCACACAAAAACAAAAAUACCGAUUCCUAUUGUGCUGUCAUAUGGUAGUGAAAGACAGUACCAGAUGGACUACCAUCUUGUAAAGCCAGGAGCCAUAAAUAUCCUUUUCCAACCAAAUCCAGCCUCCUGUGAUGCCCAGGAGGGUGACUUAUAUCCCAUAAUAAAUUCACGACAAGGUUCCUGAAAGAAAAAAGGGGGAGGGUCGGUGGGGCUUCAGCUUAAUACUUACAAAAGCCAAUUUCCGAUUGUGUUAUUUCACCAGCUGAGGUGAAUUGAAUUUUGGCGCCUUUGAAUUUAUACCCCUGCAGUUCCCGCCUCAAUGUGGCUCGCGCUGCAACUAACCAAUCAUGUAAUUUACCUGAGCGUGAGUUUCCCGCCGGCACCAGCCGCACUCGCUGCCCUGCGCUUAACACCUACCUUGCGCUACCUCUGCAAAUUGACCUUUUGAUACUUACUCACAAACCUCCGCUCCAUCAAACUCCAUGAGGCUUCUCCUUUUAUGUCCGCCCGACCGACAUUGAGUAAUCAUACCAGUUGGUGUUUACUUAUUGACACCUAUUGUAUUCCUGUUCUUGAUAUAUCGUAUUGAUCUUUUUUAUUUCCUCACUUUUGGGUUUGUUCACAGUACAUGAGCACCAUUAAUUAUUUGGGCAGACUAGAUAGGCCGAAUGGUUCUUAUCUGCCGUCACAUUCUAUGCUUCUAUUGUAUUUGUCUUGCCACUGGGCAAUUUCAAUAGUUUUUUCAAUAAUAUUUAAUUGUUUUCCAUAUAUGAUAUUUCUGGAUCAAUAAAAAUUUCCUCCAUAUUUGACACAUAUCCCAGCCCUCUCCUUGGUACACUACUUCUCUUUCACGUAUAUAGUAUUUUGCAAAUGCUUUGGUCUUAACAGCAGAACCACUGCUUAGAAAUGCAUAUUAUGGGUGUGCCCUCAAUUCGUAUCUUUUUAUUGUAACUGUGCUGACUACCUAGAUGUUAAAACCCCAAAAUAUAUUUUUUUGUAAUAAAAUGUUAACAUAUUCUUAAUUGCAACGUAUAAAGGUAAGUAAGUACAUUUCUGCAUAACAAUAACACUUCAAACUACCUCUUCAAAAAUACAUUUACUUAAAAAUAUACAAAAUAUACAAACCCUUUUGGACACUUUCACUGCAUGGUAACAAAAGUUUAGUUAAAGGGACACUAUAGUCAUCAAAACAACUAUAGCUUAAUGAAGCAGAUUUGGUGUACUGAUCUUGCCCCUGUAGUCUCACUGCUCAAUUGUCUGCCAUUUAGGAGUUAGAUCACUUGGAUUGUGCAGCCCUAGUCACACUUCCCUGCAUGUGACUUACACAGGCAUCCCAUACACUUCCUGUAAAGAGUCAUCUAAUGUUUACACAUUUUAUUGUAAAUUGUGUUUAAUUUAUAAUGUCUUAUCUCCAGCUUUGUUACUAGUUUGCUAAACCCUACAGGAGUCUCUUGUAUGUAAUUAAAGCUCAAAUUACAGAGCAGGAGAUUAAAACUUUUAAAGAAAGUUACAUUUGAUUGAAAAUGCAACCGUUUUGUUUUCAUGCAGGCUGUGUCAGCCAGGGAGGUAAGGCUAGAGCUGCAUAAACAGUAACAAAAGUGAUUUAACUCAUAAAUGGCAGAGAUCUGUGCAGUGAAACUUCAGAAGCAUGAGCUAUACACUAAAACUGUUUCAUUAAGCUAAAGUUAUUUUGGUGACAAUAGUGAACCUUUAAAAGGACACUCAGGCACUCAGACCACCUCAUGUCAAUUAAUUAUCACUGUAGUUUCAACCCUGCAACUGAAAACAUUGCCUUACUGCAGAAAACAGCAAUGUUUACUGGUUGUCAUACUGACAUCCGCUAGAGAUGCUUUUUUCGAGUUUCACUUACCUAUUUCAGUCAGAUGGUCUCAUACAGACACUCCUGCAGAAAUUUAACCAGACAUAUAAAUUUACACACACUCAUACCAAGGAGUAUUUUGUUAUUUUUCAAGUGCCAGCAUGCACCUUCAUAAGAGACCACUAGAGGGUCUCACAACCUUACAAUAGUGUUCAUCACUGUUUUUUCAAAUGCUGCCACAGUGGCAAGAGUUAGCCCAUAGAAGAGCCACAUUUACCGAAAAUCCCUCUAGCAUACCAGUUAAGCUAAUUUCCUACUAAAGAAAACAUACAGCUUAAGUAUAUAAUGCAGACAACACAGGAAUGGUUAACUACUACUACAGAUUUGAUCAGUUCAUACAGCCCAGCUGACUUUAGAGUAGACCAGGUUGUAUUUUGCUAUAUAGACAGCAGCAGGAAAUGGCUCACUUAUUUAUAAAAUAUUUUACCAAGAAGGAUACAUUGAGAUUUCUCUUGUUUUAAGUAUGUCCUAGGCUGUGUUUUGCUCUGGAGAGUCAUGGGUUGAGCCUUUUAUUUAGUAAUUUUACAAAAUGCUGUCACGCAUGCAUAAAUGCUAUAAAAAUAAUAAUAAUGUUAAAUGGACUCUCCAAUGCCAGGAAAACAUAUCCGUUUUCGUGGCACUGCAGGACCCUGCAGUGCCCCUCUCCCUCCCACCCCCCAUCCCAUGUUGCUGAAGGGGUUAAAACCUGAAGCGGUAAAAACUCAGCCCACGCUCCUCCCCCACCGACGUCAGCAGGCCGGGGAGACCUAAUGCGAAUGCACGGCAAUGGCCGCGCACUAGACCUCCCCAUAGGAAAGCAUUAUUCAAUGCUUUCCUAUAGGGAUUCCGGUGAUGCUAGUGGUCCUCAUGCAUAGCGUGAGGACGUCCAGCAUCGUUUAAAACACUUUUCAUGAUCAAAGAACACGGAAGGACUUAACCCUUUAUAAAAACUGCAAUAAUUACACUUGCAGGGUUGAGGGUGGUGGGAGUUGGAACCCGGGGCGGAUCCUGUGACACAAACACAGACACACAAACAGAUACACAAACACACAUUGACACAUACAGAUACACAUAUACCAACACACAUACAGAUACACAGACACACAUGUAUAAGUUUGUGUCUAUGUGUGUUUGUAUAGUGAAUGCAGUGUGUGUGCUUGUAUAGUGGAUAAUGGUGUGAGGGAAGGGGUGAUGGUGAGAGGGAGGGGGGUGGUUGAUGGUGUGAGAGGGAUGAAGUGAGAGAGCUCAGGGGAGGUGAUUGUGAGAGGGGAUUGUGAGAAGGAGGGGCUGAAGUUGAGGGGGGGUGAUUGUGAGGGAGGGGGGCUGAUUGUGAGAGGGGGGGGCUGAUUGAGAGGAAAGUGAUUGUGAUAUGGAGGGGUGAUGAGGAGAGGGAGGGGUGAUGAGGAGAGGGAGGGGUGAUGAGGAGGAAGGGGUGAUGAUGAGAGGGAGGGGUGAUGAUGAGAGGGAGGGAUGAUUGUGAGAGGGAGGGGGGAUGAGAGGGGGAGGGGGGUGGUUGGAUGGUGUGAGAGGGAUGAAGUGAGAGAGAGCCCAGGGGAGGUGAUUGUGAGAGGGGGUGAUUUGUGAGAAGGAGGGGGGCUGAAGUUGAGGGGGGUGAUUGUGAGAGGAGGGGGGCUGAUUGUGUGGGAGGGAGGGGGUGAUGAGGAGAGGGGGUGAGUGUGGAGGGAGGGGGUGAUGAGAGGAAGGGGUGAUGAUGAGAGGGAGGGGGUGAUGAUGAGAGGGAGGGAUGAUUGUGAGAGGGAGGGGGUGAUUGUGGAGAGGGAGGGGAUGAUGAUGGGGGGUAAAGAUGAGAGAAAGGGGGGUGAUGAGAGGGUGGGGGUGAUGGUGAUGAUGAGAGAGAUGGGGUGAUGAUGAGAGAGGGUAAUGGGGAGAGGGAAGGGGUGAUUGUGUGAGGGGGUGAUGAGGAGAGGGGGGGUGAUUGUGUGAUGGAGUAGGUCUGAUUGUGAGAGGGAGGGGGAGUUACUGUGCGAGGGAGGGGGGAGUUAUGCAGGGGGGACUAAAGAAUUACCUUAAAUCCCUAGUGGCCAUCAUUUCCGAUCUGCAGCUCCGCAGAGCUGCAGACCAUGGAUCUCGCGAGACCCAGUCAGAGCGUUGCCGUGGUAACCCGCGGCAACGCUCUGAUUGGGCAGUGCACGCGAGAAACAUGGUCUGCAGCUCUGCACAUUGAGGAGCUGCAGACUGGUCUCGGUGAUGGGCACAGGAGGGGCAUUGCAGUCUGCCCCGGGCACCCCCAUAGUGAGUGGCACCCAGGGCGGACCGCCUCCCUCACCCCCCCUUAGUACGCCACUGGUUGGCACCCAGACCACUCCGAUGGACAGAAGUGGUCUGGGUGCCUGGAGUGUCCCUUUAACCCCUUAAGGACACAUGACAUGUGUGACAUGUCAUGAUUCACUUUUAUUCCAGAAGUUUGGACCUUAAGGGGUUAAUGCUCAUUUCAAGAAGUAAAGCAGUUCUUAUACUUCAGUACUUCAUAAAGACAAUCUUUAUUACAUAAUAAUGGUGACAGUGUUGAAAUUUCAAGGCCUACACCCGACAACUUUAACCAGAAUUGACAUCUUUGGACAUCUUUGCAAAAUAUGCAAAGACCCAUGAAAGUGACUGAUCUACUUUAAAUUAGACUCCCUUACACAUUUGUAACCCGUAUCACUGACAUUUUCCCAGCACAGAGCUAUUUAAUAACAUUUCACAGCGAGAUAAAUUGGUUAUUUUUGCAGUUUUCUUUUUAGAUUGCUGGAUAUGCUUUGGUACAAGGCCAGAAGGCCAGAAGGCUACAAGGCCAGAAGGUUUUGAUGCACAUAUCCAAUCCCUGCAUGAAUUUUAAUAAAUCUAAUCUAAAUGUUAAACAUAAAAUGAUUUAGUAAACAAACCGCUGGUUAUUUAGAAAAGUUGCCAAACGCCUAAUAUGUAUAGCAACCUUUCAGUUUCCUUUGCAUUUACAAUAAUAAUAAACUAUUAUUUUAUUUAGUGAUUUUCUCAAGUUCCCCUAAGCAUAUUAUAAUAUGCUUUCAGAUUACAUCAGAAUUAGCUGCUGAUAACUGUAUGUUACUAAUACCUCCCUAGGAAGAAUAUUACCUGCCAGGACAGGAAAAACAACUGCAAGCAAGUUAGAGUGUGUCUGAAAGUGAUGGGAACUGCAAACCAUUAACUGCCUUUCCAUACCGUAAGUGCGAAUUUAGCAGCUUUUAAACCAUUCUAUGCAAUGUAAAGGAUCUUAAAAAUAACUUGAAAAAGUUUAUUGGACAUCCACAUAUUAGAUAAAGUAGAAAAGCUAUACUUGCAUAGCUAUCUCUAUCAACAUUUCAACAUUCAUUCAGUGUCUCCUUUUCUAAUAACACGUCCUCCUCUCAUCCUGUCACAGUUGGAGUCCCCCCAACUCCCUGUUCUUGGUCCCCUUUUGUUUUCUCUUUAUACUGCCUCGCUUGGCAAACAUAUUAAUUCUUUUGGAUUACUCUACUAUAUGCAUGCCAAUGACACCAAGAUAUAUCUCUUCUCUGCCCUUCCUAUUGUGUUUUUAUACCCCACAUUCUCUAGAUUGUAAGCCUGUUUGAGUAUGUUCCUCAUCAUCAAAUUGUUUCUGUAACAUUUUGUAAUUGUCUUACUUAUUGUUAAUUUUCCCACAUUUCUAAUGUUGUAAAGCACUGCAGAAUAUGUUGGCACUAUAUAAAUACCAAUAACAAUAAUAACAGAAGUGGGCUGAAUUUAUUUAUUUAUAAAAUAUUUUACCAGUAAGGAUAUAUUGACAUUUCUCUGAUUUUAUUAAAGACACGGAGGCUCAUAUUAUGAAUAACUCUUUCUUUAUUUCCUCAGCAGCAAAGAUAGAGGAAUAUAAAUAUUGUCAAAAAUGAAAGAAAAAACUGUAUAGAUACACAGGCAACCAAUCACAUAACAGAGGAAGUGACUAUAUAAGGCCUGUGUCUCCCACAAUCCCCCUCUUUCUUUGCUGCUUCCUCAGACCAGCUAAGUAUCUCAGUUUUUCUCUACAUGUUUCAUCAUUUAUUGCUGAUUGUUGCUGUUUAUUGCUGUUUUACAUUUUAUUACUGUGCUGUAUUUGCUGGGUUCUGUUUAUCCCUGUGGUGUGCCUAGUGGGUUUCCCUUCCCCAGUUCUGUAUCCCGGCGGAGGGGUCUCCCUCCCUUACUUUCCCCGGCGGUUGGCUUCCCUUCUGGGUGCGCGGCUACACGUCCCUCGCUCUCGCGACCUCCGUGCCGCGUGGGUGAGGUGCACGCGCCCCUUCCCCCCAGUGUGUCCUGGUCGCGAGUGAUACCCGCCAGCCUCCACAUGCGGCGGCCAUCUUGGAGGCGGAGCUUACUCGUGGCCGGUCCUCAUACUCCCUGCGGCUCGCGGCCAGCCUGCUGCCCGCCUCUGCAGUCUCCUGGGUCCCCUGGGCACACCUGUCAGCACAUUUCGCUUGUUUUUAACCCUCCUGUGGGUUACUCAACCCCUUUUCUCUCUACAUUCUGUGAGUAUUUGCCCUGCCAUUAUGCGAGACAGGGAUGAGGGGCAUGAGGGCCUCCCUGACACUUUUAAUCACGAUGUUCCUGAGGGCAAUGUGGCUUCCCAAGAAUUCCAAGCCCUCUUGGAUGCCACUAUGGCAUCAUCCUUGCAGAGGGCCUUUGCCUCUGCCAUGGGAGCGGUGUCCACAUCAUUCUCCCAGUCUCUGCAGAAUAUGCUUUUGCCCUCCUUGGUGGCUCCCUCCCCCCUGGGUGAUGGGACCCCCCCGCCAGCCCCCGCCAUGCCUGAGGCCCGUAAGGCUAGGGCUAAGGCGAAACACGUCAGCUCCCACUCCUCGAUGCAGGUUAUGCCUGCCAUGAUGGACUCGCUUGACGCGGUCACAGACGGCGCACCUCCCAUGCGCAAGAGAGCCCCUGGCCGGGCUAAAAAGGCUAGAUUGUGGAAACGGGCUAGAGCCCUGGAUGAUGGGUCGGAUACCGACCGGAGUGUGGAGAAUGAGUCUGACGAUAUGGAGUAUGAUUCCUAUGAUGAGGGGGAUUCGGGCGGAGACUUACCCCCUACGGGUGUGACCCCCUCGGGAUCCGCUGCCACUAAUAAGGGUCAAGUGUUAAGCCCCACUGGGGAUAGUAAAGUAUUGUUUGACCCUCAGGGUAACCCCCUGUUUGACCCUGACGACCUCCGCCACCCCAGGCUGUCGACUGGAGGACAUCAUGCGUACAGCGGACUGGUCUAGAGAAUCGACCUUCCGCGACUUCUAUUUCAGACCUAUUGAACAUAUCGCAUCUCAGGUGAUGGCACAGCUUUGAACUUGCAUAAUAUGAGCCUCCGUGUCUUUAAUAAAAUUCCCAGAUUUUACUAUUAACAUGACGUAAAGUCAUGAUUUUAUUAAAGACACGGAGGCGAGUAUUAUUCCCUCCCACCCUCCCGAUGUGGGUAUAGGGAUGAGAUGCUAUUGGAAUCUUCAGGUAUGUUUUCAUUUCGGUCUGUUUUUCGAUGAGAUUUGUGUAUGUCGUUCACAUAUUAUAUUAAUGAUAUAUUUUUUAUGUCUUUCAGGUUUCAGUUGCUAUCAUUGAAUUAUCAACAGUUUGUUUUGAUUCCGUUUUUUUCUAGCAUUGAAUGACCAACGGUUUGUUUGGUAAGUCUACAGUUUGGAGUUUAGUUAUUACCAUAUUUCUCUCUCUCUUUUAGCUUGACGUUAUCGGUUCGUUGCCGUUUCCUGUUCUGGACAAGUUGGAUUUCGUUCUUCUUACCUGGUCUUCGGUUUUCGCAAGAAAGAGGGGGAUUGUGGGAGACACAGGCCUUAUAUAGUCACUUCCUCUGUUAUGUGAUUGGUUGCCUGUGUAUCUAUACAGUUUUUUCUUUCAUUUUUGACAAUAUUUAUAUUCCUCUAUCUUUGCUGCUGAGGAAAUAAAGAAAGAGUUAUGC